rnacentral:rRNA from 1 species
UACAGGGGGGGCAAGCGUUGUUCGGAAUUACUGGGCGUAAAGGGCCAGUAGGCGGCCAACUAAGUCCGACGUGAAAUCCCCAAGCUUAACUUGGGAACUGCGUCGGAUACUGGAUGGCUUGAAUUCGGGAGAGGGAUGCAGAAUUCCAGGUGUAGCGGUGAAAUGCGUAGAUAUGUGGAGGAACACCGAUGGCGAAGGCAGCCUUCUGGGCCAACACUGACGCUCAUGCACGAAAGCGUGGGGAGCAAACAGG